CCUACGGGAGGCAGCAGUGGGGGAUAUUGCACAAUGGGGGAAACCCUGAUGCAGCGACGCCGCGGGUGGGAAGACGGUCCUCUGGAUUGUAAACCACUGUCCCCAGUGACGAAGCUGACGGUACCUGGGGAGGAAGCUCCGGCUAACUACGUGCCAACAGCCGCGGUAAUACGUAGGGAGGAAGCGUUGUCCGGAAUUACUUGGUGUAAAGGGAGCGUAGGCGGGAUGGCAAGUUGGGUGUUAAAUCUACCGGCUCAACUGGUAGUCGCACUCAAAACUGCUAUUCGUGAGUGAAGUAGAGGCAGGCGGAAUUCCUAGUGUAGCGGGGAAAUGCGUAGAUAUUAGGAGGAACACCAGUGGCGAAGGCGGCCUGCUGGGCUUUUACUGACGCUGAGGCUCGAAAGUGUGGGGAGCAAACAGGAUUAGAGACCCUUGUAGUC
rnacentral:rRNA from 1 species